rnacentral:rRNA from 1 species
CCUACGGGAGGCAGCAGUAAGGAAUAUUGGUCAAUGGACGGAAGUCUGAACCAGCCAUGCCGCGUGCAGGAUGACGGCCCUCUGGGUUGUAAACUGCUUUUAUAGGGGACGAAAAAAGGGGAUUCUUCCUCACUUGACGGUACCCUAGGAAUAAGCACCGGCUAACUCCGUGCCAGCAGCCGCGGUAAUACGGAGGGUGCAAGCGUUAUCCGGAUUUACUGGGUUUAAAGGGUGCGUAGGUGGGUCGGUAAGUCAGCGGUGAAAUCUUCGAGCUUAACUCGGAAACUGCCAUUGAUACUAUCGAUCUUGAAUCGUCUAGAGGUAAGCGGAAUAUGUCAUGUAGCGGUGAAAUGCUUAGAUAUGACAUAGAACACCAAUUGCGAAGGCAGCUUACUAUGGAUGUAUUGACACUGAGGCACGAAAGCGUGGGGAUCAAACAGGAUUAGAUACCCUGGUAGUCCACGACCUAACG